ACAACUUUUAGCGAUGGAUCUCUUGGCUCUCACACCGAUGAAGAACGCAGCAAACUGCGAUAAGCAAUGCGAAACGCAGUUGUUCGUGAGUCAUCCGGUAUUCGAACGCACAUGGCAGGUCCUCGGACCUACGUCUGGUUGAGGGU
rnacentral:rRNA from 1 species